GACGAACGCUGGCGGCGUGCUUAACACAUGCAAGUCGAACGGAAAGGCCCUGCUUUUGUGGGGUGCUCGAGUGGCGAACGGGUGAGUAACACGUGAGUAACCUGCCCUUGACUUUGGGAUAACUUCAGGAAACUGGGGCUAAUACCGGAUAGGAGCUCCUGCUGCAUGGUGGGGGUUGGAAAGUUUCGGCGGUUGGGGAUGGACUCGCGGCUUAUCAGCUUGUUGGUGGGGUAGUGGCUUACCAAGGCUUUGACGGGUAGCCGGCCUGAGAGGGUGACCGGCCACAUUGGGACUGAGAUACGGCCCAGACUCCUACGGGAGGCAGCAGUGGGGAAUAUUGCACAAUGGGCGGAAGCCUGAUGCAGCAACGCCGCGUGCGGGAUGACGGCCUUCGGGUUGUAAACCGCUUUCGCCUGUGACGAAGCGUGAGUGACGGUAAUGGGUAAAGAAGCACCGGCUAACUACGUGCCAGCAGCCGCGGUGAUACGUAGGGUGCGAGCGUUGUCCGGAUUUAUUGGGCGUAAAGGGCUCGUAGGUGGUUGAUCGCGUCGGAAGUGUAAUCUUGGGGCUUAACCCUGAGCGUGCUUUCGAUACGGGUUGACUUGAGGAAGGUAGGGGAGAAUGGAGUUCCUGGUGGAGCGGUGGAAUGCGCAGAUAUCAGGAGGAACACCAGUGGCGAAGGCGGUUCUCUGGGCCUUUCCUGACGCUGAGGAGCGAAAGCGUGGGGAGCGAACAGGCUUAGAUACCCUGGUAGUCCACGCUGUAAACGGUGGGUACUAGGUGUGGGGUCCAUUCCACGGGUUCCGUGCCGUAGCUAACGCUUUAAGUACCCCGCCUGGGGAGUACGGCCGCAAGGCUAAAACUCAAAGGAAUUGACGGGGCCCCGCACAAGCGGCGGAGCAUGCGGACUAAUUCGAUGCAACGCGUAGAACCUUACCUGGGUUUGACAUGGAUCGGGAGCGCUCAGAGAUGGGUGUGCCUCUUUUGGGGUCGGUUCACAGGUGGUGCAUGGCUGUCGUCAGCUCGUGUCGUGAGAUGUUGGGUUAAGUCCCGCAACGAGCGCAACCCUUGUUCACUGUUGCCAGCACGUUAUGGUGGGGACUCAGUGGAGACCGCCGGGGUCAACUCGGAGGAAGGUGGGGAUGACGUCAAGUCAUCAUGCCCCUUAUGUCCAGGGCUUCACGCAUGCUACAAUGGCUGGUACAGAGAGUGGCGAGCCUGUGAGGGUGAGCGAAUCUCGGAAAGCCGGUCUCAGUUCGGAUUGGGGUCUGCAACUCGACCUCAUGAAGUCGGAGUCGCUAGUAAUCGCAGAUCAGCAACGCUGCGGUGAAUACGUUCCCGGG
rnacentral:rRNA from 1 species